UUGAAUUUGCCUGGUUGACAAAAUGCAAAAACCCUACAGUGAUUGUUUAUGAGAAUACCUAGUUCCGACUGAUUGAUGAUUGAUUGAUUAAAUGACUUAUUGAUUGACAAGUGAUGAAGGAUGCUGGAGUGAAUCAGCCAGGGCUAUUCCGAGAAACAUCCUUUGAAGAUAUUUUAGAAGUUAGACAGUUUGCCACUCAAGAGAAAAAUCUCUAGAAUCAUGCACUGAAUUUUAGUGCUCUGGAUUGUCAGAAUGGCUUUAUGUGUAGAUGACCCUAAGUGUUUGUGUAUACUUAGACAAUAAAUAACAUAUGACAUAUGAAUUACGUAGAUUUCAGUAUAUAAAUAUCUAGUCUUGCAUAAGAACACAACUUCCUCUCAGCUUUAGCACUUAUGCUAUAUUUUAUAGUUUUGAAAUUUUCUCCCCAAAUAGUUUGUAAUUUCAACAUCUUGCACACUAGAUGGGCUUUAGCUCUCUCUUGAAUAAUGUUUUCCUGAUGCAGCAUACCUGUACAACAUAAUUGACACUCUAACUGUCACCAUGGCAGGGGAAAUGCCAGAGUUGGACUAAAACAAAUCUUUAAGCCAUCUAUAAUAUUAUGUGCCUAGUGAUGACUUACAGGUUCCUAUUUAUAUCUCCCUUUAAAUAUUUCAUGUCUUCUCUAUUACUGAUAAGAGUUAAUGCACUAGUCUCCCGAGGGUUUUUCAUAAGUCUACACAGGAUAUCAUUUCUGGUGUUGUGAAUCACCAUAUGCUAUUUUUAUUGCAGAAGUUUGGUGGAUUUUCAAGAAAAGUUACCUGGUGAAGAAAUAAUCAAGAAAGUUCAUAACGAGUCAUGCAGUGCAAUUCUGCACAAAACACUUUAUCAUUGUGGCCAUUGUGGAGAGUGGUGGAUGCAGUACAUUGAUUCCGUAUUUUUUAAAUAGAAUGCUCCCACCUUGUUCACCCUAAGGAGACUGAGGAUAUUAAUGGCUUAAUUUUUGCAAGCCACUGUAUAUUGUCUCACAGCAAAGGGCAGUGAGACAAUUUGUCUCAUUUGUAAAACAUAACCUUGAGAAAUAGAACUAUAUACAAAAUAAGCCAUGCUAAAAAUACUUUUUACUUUCUACUAAAAGAAAUCAUUUGGCAUUAUUAACUAGCUUCCAGAUUGCUGACUUUUGUUAACUCUCUGACUGCGUGGCUAUAGAAACAAUUAAGAAGACAUUUUGAUCCCAAUGUCUUCUUUCAAGAAAAGCUGAGGGCUUCUUCCAUGGGUGAGUCGUUUUAAAGUCCCACAAAAUUGAUGCAUUUUUAGAAGUCUGUUCAACAAACAUAAGUGCUUAAAAUUAUGAAGAUUUUGGAGGCCAUAAUUUUCCCAGCUGCAUGAAGUGGAUAGCACUAAGAGGCCUCAUAGAUCAUAUCAUGUUGUCAUUUAUUAUAAUGUUUUAACGUACUACAGAAUUUGUGCUGUCAAGAACAUUGGGUGGGGUGAUUUAUUGGCUAGGAUUGAUUAUGUUGCUAAUAGCACAGAUGGCUUGGAUUUUGGAAGGGGGAAACUUCUUGUCACUGAGCAUGAAGGAAUAAAUGCUGACUUACCAAGAGACAAAGGGGCCUUCUCUUAGAAAAGACUCAUUUACCUGCCAUGUGCAGACAACAUUCAAGAGAUAGUUUUUAUUUUCCUUCAAACUCAUGCUUUAAAUUCUACUUUUUGCCUCGAGGAGCAGUGGGCAUUUUGUGUGUGUGAAAUCUAUUUCCACAGUGGAGCAAACUUUCAUCAGCUCUCCCUCUGGGACAACAUGGCAGAACUUUCCAAGUUUCUCUUGGGCUUCUCUACAAGUACCCAAACCAUGACCUUGCCUGGAAAGCUUUUGCAGCUAAAUGUCUAGAGCUCUGACGUUUGCAUUGACUUUCAGAGAUUUCCUGUAGGCUAACACCUGGAAGCCAUCACCUGCAGAUGCCCAGCUGCCACACACUGUACCCUGCACAGCAGUGUGGGUGCUAAUGAAGAGGCAUUGACCCACCACUGAUAUAUCUUCCUAAGCAGAGGUUGUUCCUCAGAACCCCGAAGACAAGUCAUCCGGCCUCUUUUUUGAUCCACAUCCUAUUAACUCAAAGGUUUUCACUAAAGUCUCAUGUAAACAAAAGUGGUCCUGGGAGGAGGAAAAAAUCACACAGCUGAGAAGAAAUCAACUUUGGAAAGUUCUUUCAGUCAUUUAUCAUUAAAUAUUUAUUAAAAACCUGCUACGUGACAGGCCUAGUUCUGGCCUCUGUGAGACAAAGGAGUAAACAAAACAGAUACUCCUAGAAGUGACAGGCUAAUUCUUGAAAGAGACAUUAAAAAAAUGCUUGCACACAUAAAUAUAUAAUUGCUACUGUGAUGUUUCAGUAAAGAAAAACUGCAAGGUUCUAUGACAAUGAAACUUUCAGCAAAAAUCCCAAGAAGAUAGCAAAACCCUAAGGAAACAGCAAAAAGAACACAUGAAGCAUUCUGCAGCUGACUUCUAGAAACACAAGCAAAGUCAUAUUUUUCAGUUUCUGAAAUAUCAGUAAUUAGAAAAAGAAAACAGCUAGGGUAAUUUAAAUAGAAUAUUGAAGCUAUAAUUUAUAGAUUUAAAUUUCCAAAAUUUCAGACUUAAAGAAUGAGAACACUCUGUAAUGCAUAUGUCAGCUUUUAUACAAAGAAGUAAUAUGUCUAGUGUUGAUUAGUGUGGAACAGACUGGUACACAGAAAUAGAGCCAUGGAUUGUCCUGAACUUGAUGACAAAAUAAGAGGAUAUAGACAGGAACCAGAGUAAACACGUCCCUAAUCUAGUAUAGGGUUACACCAAUUUCUUGGAGAGAAGAAAAUUACCACUGAAACAAUAAUAUAGGAAUAUGUAUAUUUUAUUACAUAUCAUA